UUCAUCAGUAGUUCUUCUGUUUGGAAAGGUGAAUUAUUGUGGGAAGUCCAAUAUUUGGGUCGUGUAAUUAAUGGCUCCUCAACACUCAAUCUUCUUCGUGCUUAGUUUGCUUCUUGGCAUUUCUUCUGCUAUUGAUGACAACGACGGCCUUGACAAGUGGGGAAAAUUGGAUCCAACAUUCUCACCAUGUUCCUCAGGGCAAAGGCAAUCUCCCAUAAACAUUCAAAGGAAUCUGACGGUCCACAACAAAUUAUUGAAACCUUUAACCAGGAACUACAAACAUGUAAAUGCUACGCGGGUUAACAAAGGCUACAGUGUUGGGGUUGAUUUCUAA